GGCAAAAUAAGUGAUAUAGAGNAAAACCCUAAAAACCGGUACUCAGUUCGGAUUGAAGGCUGAAAUUCGCCUUCAUGAAGCUGGAAUUGCUAGUAAUGGCAGGUCAGCAUACUGCCGUGAAUACGUUCCCGGGCCUUGUACACACCGCCCGUCACACCAUGAGAGUUGGGAAUACCCGAAGCCUGUAGUCUAACCGCAAGGAGGACGCAGUCGAAGGUGGGAUUGAUGACUGGGGUGAAGUCGUAACAAGGUACC
rnacentral:rRNA from 1 species